rnacentral:rRNA from 1 species
AUUGAACGCUGGCGGCAGGCCUAACACAUGCAAGUCGAGCGGAUGAAGGGAGCUUGCUCCUGGAUUCAGCGGCGGACGGGUGAGUAAUGCCUAGGAAUCUGCCUGGUAGUGGGGGAUAACGUCCGGAAACGGGCGCUAAUACCGUAUACGUCCUGAGGGAGAAAGUGGGGGAUCUUCGGACCCCACGCUAUCAGAUGAGCCUAGGUCGGAUUAGCUAGUUGGUGGGGUAAAGGCCUACCAAGGCGACGAUCCGUAACUGGUCUGAGAGGAUGAUCAGUCACACUGGAACUGAGACACGGUCCAGACUCCUACGGGAGGCAGCAGUGGGGAAUAUUGGACAAUGGGCGAAAGCCUGAUCCAGCCAUGCCGCGUGUGUGAAGAAGGUCUUCGGAUUGUAAAGCACUUUAAGUUGGGAAGAAGGGCAGUAAGUUAAUACCUUGCUGUUUUGACGUUACCAACAGAAUAAGCACCGGCUAACUUCGUG